UGUUAGUACUUUAUCCACAGCAACAAGAGGUCUGUGCCCAGCAGAACGAUAACCUCAGGAUCAGGGCUGACUGCUCUGUGGGCGUCAGCAGUCACGUGUCUGCUUCGCAGUCCUGUUCCAGCCCCGGCACUGGGGCCGCAGGCCGCUCCCCAGAAGGACGCUCACGUUUUAGGAGCUCAGAGAGGCUGUGCUGGCAGUGGAGUCUUGUACACCAGGAGGCUGAACUGGGGAGCAGGCAGAGGGGAGGACCCUAGGAGAACCCCGUAAAAUAAUUCCAGGGCCUGAAGGUGACCCUUACACCCUAGCACUGGCAACAGACAGGUUGGCCAAGAACAGACAGAGUCCAAGAUCAUAAAACACAAACGAGCGCCCAUCCUCCUCCAGGUUGCAGAACUCCCGGCAGGUGCGUCAGGUGAAUUUUCUCUUCAUUUUGUUUGCAGGGCACUUAGACUGGGGGAUUCAGGACUGACCGUUCCCCAAGUUGAAGUUCUCUUCAAAACCACUGCGCAGGGUGGGGGUGAGCCUUCAGCCCAGCAGUUCAGACCCCUCGUCCGGGGCUUGAGCCCUGCUCUGCCCUGACUCCAGCUUCCCGCUGAGCCACACUCGGGGAGGCAGCAGGUGAAGGCUAAUGUGGUUGGGUCCCCGUCUCCCAUAAAGGAGCCCUGGAUGGAGUUCCCACUCCUCAUCAUCCUCCCCCAGUCCCAACCACUGCAGGCAUUCGGGGAGUGAAACAGACAGGAGCUCUCUCUCUCCCUCUCCAUCCUCCGCUGCCUUCCCAGGCACAUUAGCAGGGAGCUGGAUCAAAGUGGAGCAGCCAAGACGCAAACUGGUGCCCAUAUGGGAUGCCGGGAUGGCGGGAAGUGGCUUGAAAGUUAUUCUAUAAUGCUGGUCUCUCAAAUGUUUUUUAGAAACAUUUUUUUUUUAAAAGAAAUCCCGCUGGGUUUUGAUAAGAAAAUGCUGGUUCUUCCAGGGGAACCAACUCUCAGGAGGAGGAGGAGUCUGGGAACCUGUGGUUCUAGAAGCUUCUCCUGGAACCAUGGAACCCUCCCCCGUUUGCCUGGAGCUGCUAAGGUGGAAGAAAAACAAACCCAGGGGCCCAGGCGCUCCACACCUAGACACACACCCUUGACAGAAACGACGUGCCAAAGCGUGAAAAAAAUCACGCUCGUGGAAACCACCCAGAUGCCCACCUACAGCCGAGUGCACCGAGUGCUGCAAUACGACACAGACCCGCGCUACCACACACGCUGGCAUGGACGAGCCAGUGAAAGGAGCCGCACAGGAGGGGACACAGAGCACAACGCCACUGUGUGCAAUUCAAGAUCAGUUCACCUACGCAGAGGGCGGCUCCCCUCCAGGGGGCGCUCUUCCCAGGGAGGGCCGUGGAAGGACUCCACACCUGCUACCUCUUUGCUCCAGACUAAGGCUCCGCAGCACUGCCUUCAGACCAGCCGUGCGGGGUGAGCCCUGAAGCUCACAGCUCCCGCAACCACCCUGCACAGACUCUGCUCCCCAACUCCCCCCGCCGUUCUCCCAGCACACGUGAGCGCAGCGGGCGUCACCGUGCUGGUUAAGCCGCCACUUGGACACCUGCGUGCCCCACCAGAGCUGGUUUGAGUCCCAGCUGCCCCACUUCUGACCCAGCCUCCUGUCACUGCACCCGGGAAGGCAGCAGCAGAUGGUCCCAGGACUUGGGAUCCUGCCACCCGGACGGGAGAUCGGGGUGGAUUCCUGGCUCUUGGCUCCAGGCUGGACCAGCCCUGGCCAUUGUGGACAUUUGGGGAAUGAACCAGUGAGGAUCGAUCUCUCUCUCCCCUGCCUUUUAAAUAAAUGCAUCUGUAAAUGUGAGUAAAAUGGUGUU
rnacentral:lncRNA from 1 species